AGCAGCCACCCUUAAAAGAGUGCGUAAUAGCUCACUGGUCGAGUGACUCUGCGCCGAAAAUGUACCGGGGCUAAACGUAUCACCGAAGCUGCGGACUGUUCUUGCGAACAGUGGUAGGAGAGCGUUCUAAGGGCUGUGAAGCGAGACCGGAAGGACUCGUGGAGCGCUUAGAAGUGAGAAUGCCGGUAUGAGUAGCGAAAGAGGGGUGAGAAUCCCCUCCACCGAAUGCCUAAGGUUUCCUGAGGAAGGCUCGUCCGCUCAGGGUUAGUCGGGACCUAAGCCGAGGCCGAAAGGCGUAGGCGAUGGACAACAGGUUGAUAUUCC
rnacentral:rRNA from 12 species